rnacentral:rRNA from 1 species
GACGAACGCUGGCGGCGUGCUUAACACAUGCAAGUCGAACGAUGACGACCGAGCUUGCUCGGUCUGAUUAGUGGCGAACGGGUGAGUAACACGUGAGCAACCUGCCCUUCACUCUGGGAUAACCUCGGGAAAUCGGGGCUAAUACCGGAUAUGAGCUCCUGUCGCAUGGCGGGUGUUGGAAAGUUUUUCGGUGAAGGAUGGGUUCGCGGCCUAUCAGUUUGUUGGUGAGGUAGUGGCUCACCAAGGCGAUGACGGGUAGCCGGCCUGAGAGGGCGACCGGCCACACUGGGACUGAGACACGGCCCAGACUCCUACGGGAGGCAGCAGUGGGGAAUAUUGCACAAUGGGCGAAAGCCUGAUGCAGCGACGCCGCGUGAGGGAUGACGGCCUUCGGGUUGUAAACCUCUUUCAGCAGGGAAGAAGCGAAAGUGACGGUACCUGCAGAAGAAGCGCCGGCUAACUACGUG